rnacentral:rRNA from 1 species
GGACGAACGCUGGCGGCGUGCUUAACACAUGCAAGUCAAGGGGGCCGGAGCAAUCCGGUAACCGGCGAACGGGUGCGUAACACGUGAGCGACCUGCCGAUCAGAGGGGGAUAGCCGGCCCAACGGCCGGGUAAUACCGCAUACGCUCUUUGGGCUACCUGGCCUGGAGAGGAAACUUCUGGGGCUGAUCGAGGGGCUCGCGGCCUAUCAGCUAGUUGGUGGGGUAAUGGCCUACCAAGGCGACGACGGGGANCCUGGUCUGAGAGGAUGGCCAGCCACAUUGGGACU